UCGAAAUGCGGGUCUUCCAGUCCUGAUCCCGACCCCGCCCACAGCUUUUUGAUCUCGCACACCCCGCUGUGUCCCCACCCUAGGCUCUGUGCGACUUGCCCCCCUAUUCACUGGACAUUUUUCCUUGUUUCCCUAAAUUCGCUUAUUUGAGGCUAGCCUUUGACAUCUUUUUCUGGGAAAAGCUUCUGUUUGGAAUGCUAUGACAUCCAUGCCUCUCAGAAAGCCAGGGACUCUCUGUGAGAGUGACCUCAGUCAAGAUCCUCUGUUCUCAGACUCCUAGAAUUACAGGCACACGAGAGAGGGAGAAGAGAACACUGUCACCUGCUUU